rnacentral:lncRNA from 1 species
AGGGCCUUGAAACAGACCUGUGGCCUACUGUCUAAAAGACUUGAUCCUGUGGCAAGUGGAUGGUCUACCUGUUUGAGGGCAGUUGCAGCCACCACCCUCCUGGUCAAGGAGGCAGAUAAGCUCAGCCUAGGAUGGGACCUGGUCAUCACCACACCCCAUGCAGUGGAAACAUUGCUGAGAGGAGCCCCAGACUAUGGCUCUCCAACGCCUGCCUGACUCAGUACCAGGCCCUGUUGCUGGAUGCUCCAUGCAUCAAAUUCACCUGAGAAAUGACCCUCAAUCUGGCCACCUUACUCCUGGACUCUGACUCAUAUGCAUGCCCCUCCAUAACUGUCUGGACACUCUGACAACUUCCACCACCAACUGCCCAGAUCUGACUGAUGUUCCCCUGCAAAGCCCAGAUGAGACCUUCUUCACCAAUGGAAACAGCUUAGUGGAAGACUGAGUCAGGACUGACCUCUAUGGUCCAGGACAUCAGUUCCAGGUGUCAGGUGUGUACACAGUUAAACUCCAAGGCAAGACCAAGGAACAAAGUCUCUUCAAGCCUUACAGAUUCUUCAGAGUGAGAUCCAGGCUACAAAACAACAGGCUCAAGAAAAACCCUUUGCGACGUUCCAGCCCCAUGGUUUCAAGCCAGGAGACCUGGUCCUGAUAUGCUUGGUUUGCUUGCACUGAGGACUUGACUAAAUACAUUCCCAAAUCAGUCUUGGCUACCCAAUCUGCCACUUUAUUUUGUGUCACCAUGUAUGGUGUUCCACAAGUCUUGUAUUAUAAUAAAAAAGGGGGCUGUAAACAUCUGGAAUUAACCACUGAACACUAAAGGAGUAAACGGGAUGCCCCCAUU